UACGUAGGGGGCGAGCGUUGUCCGGAGUUACUGGGCGUAAAGCGCUUGUAGGCGGUCCACCAAGUUUGGGGUGACAGUUGCCGACUUAAUCGGCAAAGUGCCUCAAAGACUGGCGGACUUGAGGGCCACAGAGGGACAUGGAACUCCAGGUGUAGUGGUGAAAUGCGUAGAUAUCUGGAAGAACACCAAAGGCGAAGGCAGUGUCCUGGGUGGUCGCUGACGCUGAGAGGCGAAAGCCAGGGAGCGAACGGG
rnacentral:rRNA from 1 species